AAGACCAAAAGGUGCAUAAUUAUAUCAUCCCAUGUAUUCACUAUAGCUCAUAAUAAAUUGUAAGCCUCACAUUUUCCACCAAAGAUGAAUUAACUAACCAUGAUUCAAUUUUACCACUGUAUAUUUACAGUCCAGUAAGUUAUAUUGAGACAAAAUUGGUACUUAGGACAGUCUAGGAUCUUCCAUCUAUACAGGAAGCAUGUGACAUGGCACAGUCAAACUCAUCAUACAUCUGUUAACCAUACUUCCUGUAAAAGGCAGAAGCCUCACACAGCCCAGUAACUUUGCUAGUACCUCUUGAGUGCAAGGUGGAGAAUUAAGAUCUGGAUUUGAGACGGAGCACAGAACAUUUCACUCAGGGGAAGAGCUAUGAACAUGCUGACUGCCAGCCUGCUGAGGGCAGUCAUAACCUCCAUCUGUGUUGGAUCCAGCAUGGCUCAGAAGGUAACUCAAGCUCAGACUGAAAUUUCUGUGGUGGAGAAGGAGGAUGUGACCUUGGACUGUGUGUAUGAAACCCGUGAUACUACUUAUUACUUAUUCUGGUACAAGCAACCACCAAGUGGAGAAUUGGUUUUCCUUAUUCGUCAGAACUCUUUUGAUGAGCAAAAUGAAAUAAAUGGUCGAUAUUAUUCGAACUUCCAGAAAUCCACCAGUUCCUUCAACCUCACCAUCACAGCCUCACAGGUCGUGGACUCAGCAGUAUACUUCUGUGCUCUGAAUGAAGCCACAGUGAGAUGGGUGUCGGUGGGAGCCCUACAAAAACCUCAACAAGAGACAGGGCUCCUGGGGAGAGACUCCAUCACAGACAGGAAGAAGCAAGUUGGGGCUGUGUCAGCACAGGUGGUUUGGCAAGGAAACCUGAGUUCAAUUCAUGUACAGUGUCUAGAUAUAUCAUUUAUUAGAAGCAUGGGUGUCUUCUAUUCUUUAGAAUAGAUUGAGACAGAAUAUAUAGCACAUAUUUUUAUAUGAUAUAUAGAAUUAUGCAACAAAAAGUGCAAAAACAAAAUAUAUUAAUCUCGUGUUGGUUUUAUUGAGGGUGGGAAACUAUCCAAUUAUCUUCAGACCAAAUGGAUGAUUCCAUUCAUAAGCUGUUAAGUUUUCAGAAUGAUUCAUACAUUUAUGCAUUAAUUAUUACGUAGAAUGCUUUAAUCCAAGUGUAAUAGAAAUGCCUUCCAUUGAUUUUUCUUAAUAAUGGUAUCAUUACUAAAUGAGGUAGAAUAAUUAAAUUUAGACUUCUUUCCAUAAUCAUACCAGCAACCUCUUAUACAUCAGAAUAGAUGUGAAAUGUUCCUCAAAUUUCCUUUCUCUGGCUCCUCUCUUUUUGUGACAUGAUUAUGAUAUUUUAAAAGUAUCUAAGUAUUUUGCUUUCAUUUAGAGGCUGCCUACAAAGAGAGAUGUGUAAGGUGGGAAUUGGUCCUAACCUAUUGAAUAUCUUGCCUUCACCCUUUCCCCUCUGAGUUCUGGCCAGUUUGAAGCUGAGAAGUGGUUAGGGCCAGAAUUACAACUGCUAUGGCAAACAGAACCCAGAUGGUGUGUCCAGUGUCUACUUCCUGUCUAAACAUAUAUUUUCCUUGGAUAUUACAGCAGGUGCUCAGGAACAGGGAUUUUUAUUUCUUUUGCUCCACACAAGUUUUUAGAAACCUGAGUUUUUAACAUUAAAAGAAAACAGAUAUCACAUUAAA